CCACUGAGUCUCACUCUGUGCCAGGCUCCAUGCUUACUUCUGGGACAUCAGAAAUGGGGAGACUGAGGCAUGAGGAAAGGUGCUGAAGCCAGAGGGGGUGAGCAAAUGAAAAUAAUAUGAGAAGCUUCCAAUGCCUGAGAAUUCACCUUUUAGCAGAUGACUUUGGUGUCUGGAAUUGAAAUUCAACCUACAACCUUCAACCUACGCUUCUGGCAAACCAAACUCAUCAGUGCUGUCUACAACCUGCAAAUACAGCCAACAAGGUGUAGGCAAAAAUGAGGCAGUGUGGAGGUGCCUGGAAGGUUCUCUCGCACCGUCACACCAGGAAGGUAAGGAUCUUCCGAAAAUCAUAAUUCUAUUGAAGGCGAAGAUGAAAUCACUUAUACUGUGCAAACAGACUUCUUUGUCUCCAAGACAAUGGUCUCAAGUUCUUUUGCUGAGUUUAUUUAGGUAAGUGGCGUCUCUUUGGAUAGCUAGCCUCUGUGUACCUCCACACCAUCAAAGCAGCGGAUUCUCAUGAAAAGAAGGGCAUUCAGGCUAAUUAGUCAAUCAAAGUCUUGUUAUUUAUAGUCAUUCAUGUUCAGCUUUUUUUUUUCUUUUUAAAAAUAUGCUUCUUUUAAAACUCAGGGUCUUUUCACUUCAAGGAUUAGCUGAGACAAUGCUGUAACCAG